GAGCGGAUGAAGAGAGCUUGCUCUCUGAUUCAGCGGCGGACGGGUGAGUAAUGCCUAGGAAUCUGCCUGGUAGUGGGGGACAACGUCUCGAAAGGGACGCUAAUACCGCAUACGUCCUACGGGAGAAAGCAGGGGACCUUCGGGCCUUGCGCUAUCAGAUGAGCCUAGGUCGGAUUAGCUAGUUGGUGAGGUAAUGGCUCACCAAGGCGACGAUCCGUAACUGGUCUGAGAGGAUGAUCAGUCACACUGGAACUGAGACACGGUCCAGACUCCUACGGGAGGCAGCAGUGGGGAAUAUUGGACAAUGGGCGAAAGCCUGAUCCAGCCAUGCCGCGUGUGUGAAGAAGGUCUUCGGAUUGUAAAGCACUUUAAGUUGGGAGGAAGGGCAGUAAAUUAAUACUUUGCUGUUUUGACGUUACCGACAGAAUAAGCACCGGCUAACUCUGUGCCAGCAGCCGCGGUAAUACAGAGGGUGCAAGCGUUAAUCGGAAUUACUGGGCGUAAAGCGCGCGUAGGUGGUUUGUUAAGUUGGAUGUGAAAUCCCCGGGCUCAACCUGGGAACUGCAUUCAAAACUGACAAGCUAGAGUAUGGUAGAGGGUGGUGGAAUUUCCUGUGUAGCGGUGAAAUGCGUAGAUAUAGGAAGGAACACCAGUGGCGAAGGCGACCACCUGGACUGAUACUGA
rnacentral:rRNA from 2 species